rnacentral:rRNA from 1 species
AACGCACAUUGCACUCUCUGGUAUUCCGGAGAGUAUGCUUGUUUGAGUAUCUGCAAACAUCUCAAAUCUCUUUUUUGUUUAAAAAGAGAAUUGGAUUUGAGCGAUCCUAACUCCUUUGUUUAAUUAAACAGAGAAGAAAGGCCGCUUGAAAUGCAGGUGCAGCUGGACAUUCUUCUGAGCUAAAAGCAUAUCUAUUUAGUCCCGUUAAACGGAUUAUUACUUUUGCUUCAGCUAAUAUAAAGGUCGAAUGAACAAACCAAAGCUGAUUGCAGGAAAACUCGUUUUAAUUAAACUUGUAAACUCGAUCUCAAAUCAAGUAAGACUACCCGCUGAACUUAA